rfam:Lachnospiraceae bacterium 28-4 genomic scaffold acPFn-supercont1.3, whole genome shotgun sequence.
UUGCGUACAAUCAGUCAUUUUACUUAUGAAAUGGUCUAUCAGCAGGGAAAAUUGCCAUGGAUGGCAAUUUUAGGAAGCCAAGGGCAGGAUGCCCUUGGCUUCCGGCCCGUUCGGUUCGAAACGAUUGCCCCAUUUCAUUAGUAAAAUCUGAUUGGAAGCCC